rnacentral:rRNA from 1 species
ACGGGAUUCAGGUAGCAAUACCUGAUGAGAGUGGCGCACGGGUGCGUAACACGUAUGCAACUUGCCUUAAACCGGGGAAUAGCCCGUGGAAACAUGGAUUAAUACCCCAUAAUAUUAUUGGUAGGCAUCUACUGAUAAUUAAAAUUCCGAUGGUUUAAGAUGGGCAUGCGCGUCAUUAGCUAGUUGGCGGUGUAAUGGACCACCAAGGCUACGAUGACUAGGGGGUCUGAGAGGAUGUCCCCCCACACUGGUACUGAGACACGGACCAGACUCCUACGGGAGGCAGCAGUAGGGAAUAUUGGGCAAUGGUCGCAAGACUGACCCAGCCAUGCCGCGUGCAGGAAGACUGCCCUAUGGGUUGUAAACUGCUUUUGUACGGGAAGAAACCCCUCUACGUGUAGAGGGCUGACGGUACUGUAAGAAUAAGGAUCGGCUAACUCCGUGCCAGCAGCCGCGGUAAUACGGAGGAUUCUAGCGUU